UACGUAGGUGGCAAGCGUUGUCCGGAUUUACUGGGCGUAAAGAGCGCGCAGGCGGUCGUUCAAGUCGAGUGUGAAAGCCCCCCGGCUCAACUGGGGAGGGUCACUCGAUACUGAUCGACUCGAAGGCAGAAGAGGGAAGCGGAAUUCCCGGUGUAGUGGUGAAAUGCGUAGAUAUCGGGAGGAACACCAGUGGCGAAGACGGUUACCUGGAGCUUUGCUGACGCUGAUGCGCGAAAGCGUGGGGGAGCGAUCCGG
rnacentral:rRNA from 1 species